ACAAAGUUAGAUUACUUUUUCAUUGCAUUUUGUUUUUAGUUAUUGCUUAAAUGUGAUAAGCAUUGCUUUGGUAUGCUUUGCAGGUUUCAGUUAUAUACAAUGUCAUAAUACAAAUAGACUUGACACAGUUUGACAUAAUUUGUAUGUUGUAAUAAAAAGAAACUACUAAAUCAUUUUUUUCAAUAAUGCAAAAAGAAAAUUACUUAUCUGAAGCUAUUUAUUAUUUAGACAAAUUUUUCAGGUGGUAGAAGGAUGACUGGAUUAUCUCCCUUUAACUGCAAAUGAGAUUUUAUAAAAAUGAAAAUUUGAAAUUUGACAUCAUAUGCAUGUUUAAUCAAUGUUAAAAAUAUUCAUAUAUAUGGUGCUUAAUUUGUUAUAUAUAAAUUCAUAGGGUAGUUAGUCCUGCUGAGGAAGACAUUUAUUCUCUGUUCUAUAUUUAAUUAAAAGCUAUCAUGUUUGACACUUGACCCUCCUGUAUGCUACAGCUAGUAUACAAAAAUUAUUUUUGUUAUGCCAAAAUGUUUCAGCAGUGCUAUUUUAUAUUGUCUUGUUUAAGUAUUUAUAUUAUGUUCAUGUUUUUUGUAAUUAUGAAUUGUAGAUAGCUGUUUAAAUUGUAGAUUAAUUAUUAAUUUGUAUAUUAGUGUAUAUCUUAUAAUCUA
rnacentral:lncRNA from 1 species